rnacentral:rRNA from 1 species
UACGAAGGGGGCUAGCGUUGCUCGGAAUCACUGGGCGUAAAGGGCGCGUAGGCGGACUUUUAAGUCAGGGGUGAAAUCCUGAGGCUCAACCUCAGAACUGCCUUUGAUACUGAGGGUCUCGAGACCGGUAGAGGUAAGUGGAACUGCGAGUGUAGAGGUGAAAUUCGUAGAUAUUCGCAAGAACACCAGUGGCGAAGGCGGCUUACUAGACUGUAACUGACGCUGAUGCACGAAAAGUGUGGGGAUCAAACAGG